rnacentral:rRNA from 1 species
CCUACGGGCGGCUGCAGUGGGGAAUAUUGGACAAUGGGGGGAACCCUGAUCCAGCCAUGCCGCGUGUGUGAAGAAGGCCCUCGGGUUGUAAAGCACUUUCAGUGAGGAAGAACGCCUGGUGGUUAAUACCCAUCAGGAAAGACAUCACUCACAGAAGAAGCACCGGCUAACUCCGUGCCAGCAGCCGCGGUAAUACGGAGGGUGCGAGCGUUAAUCGGAAUUACUGGGCGUAAAGCGCGCGUAGGUGGCUUGAUAAGCCGGUUGUGAAAGCCCCGGGCUCAACCUGGGAACGGCAUCCGGAACUGGCAAGAUAGAGUGCAGGAGAGGGAGGUAGAAUUCCCGGUGUAGCGGUGAAAUGCGUAGAGAUCGGGAGGAAUACCGGUGGCGAAGGCGGCCUCCUGGACUGACACUGACACUGAGGUGCGAAAGCGUGGGUAGCAAACAGGAUUAGAUACCCGUGUAGUC